ensembl:lncRNA
GUUAAUUAGGAGGAAUAUUGAAGCAUCGUCUAAGGUCAUAGAAACGUCCUGACUCCUGAAUAUUUCUGUGUCUUUGAAUCUCCUCACCGUAGGAUUCCUGCUCACAAAAAAGCUUUCCCUCAGCGGCUUGAUUUUAUGAAAUCUGGUUUAAUAGAUAGUCUAGGUGGAGCGCAGGUGUUCAAGAUCAAGGGAGAAUCCGUCAGAACUCAUGAGGAACCGCAGGUCUGAUGAGAUGGAUGCAUAAACCUGGCAGGUGCUGCAACAGGGAUGUGAAUGGGGUGCCAGGCCAGCUGAGUCCUGGGGGCUGAGAAAUGCUCCUUGGAGAUGGUGCUAAACUGGGGCCUGAAAGGUGGGGAUGAACGCGCCACGUGAAGGAGGAAGGGAGGCACAUUGCAAGUAGUGGGAAAUGCUGGCUGAAGGAAGGGAGGAAGGGAGGAGGUGUGAAGUGGGUGGCACAUGGGGGGACAGUUAGAAGCUCAGUGUGGUCAAAACAUGAAGCAUGGGGCCCAGGGCUGGAAAUGAGACCAUAACCACCGCGUGGUUAGAUGAGGGCUAGAUUAGGGGACACUGCGGCUUGGACAGUUCAUGGACAUCCCAACCGGGUCUGUUAUUUGGGAUGCCAACCUAGCAGCACCACAGUGGAAGGGCCGCAGAGGAGGGACAGCCAUUCAACCACAGGGGGUGGCCCAGGCUAGGCACAGGGGCCCCUGAACUGAAAGGGUAAUGGUAGAGGCGGAGUGAAGGAAUGGGUUAAAGAGAAAUUUGGGGCCAAGAGCCGAUAAACCAGGGUGUCCAGAUGACUGUGGGGGAGAGGAAGAGUAAGGGGUGCUCACUACCUUGGGACAUGCUGCCUGCUAUGGACUGAAUUGUGUCCCCCUGCCCCCACCCCCCGUUUGUAUGUUGAAACCCUAACCUCCAAUGCAACUGUGUCUGGAAAUAAGACCUUUAAAAGAUAAGUAAGUGUAAAGUCAGGAGAUGGUUUGGAGAACUCUCAGCAUAGAAGCAGAAGCCAAGAGAACAGAGGAGAUUGUCCAAGAAAAGGAUGUAGAAUAAGUACAAGAAGGAAGCCAGGAAAGAAGCCGGGGAUCCAGACACUUAUGGGCACGCAGGAGAAACAGCCGAAGAAGGAGUCACAAGAGAAGGGUGUUCUAGAAGCUAAGCGAGUGGGGGUUAAGGCCAUUUGUUAAUAAUGUCAAGUGCUGUAGAGGCUUCAACUAGGCUGGUCAUUAGGAGAUAACUAUUAGGAGCUGUGUCAGGGCAGAAAUGAAGGUUGCAUUGGGUUGAGAAUGCAAGGGACUUAAGAAAGAUGAGGAUAGACUCUGACUUGAAGCUAUUUGUUUAUGAAAAGCACCAGGAGAUGUGGAGAUGGCUUGAGGAGGAGGCAAAUGGGAGGCAGUUGUUUCCUUCCGUGUUUCUGAAAUUCCACUUUCAUUCCUAUUUUUAUGCUAAGGAACCAUGGACAGCCAAAGAAACAGAACUGUACUCUCCUAUGCAAAUCAGUUCUAUGUACAUUAACCCCUUUCAUUGUUUUAGAUUUUCAGAUAUCUGUUUUCUGCCCAACAGGGACAAAUCCCAUCUUCUUCCUCCAUGGGAGCUUCAUCUCACUGGUUCUUGUCCACUCACCUCGUGGUGUUCAUCAUGUUUCAAUUUGGUGUCAGGAUUCCCAAGGCAAGGUUGCUGUUCAGUCACUAAGUCACAUCUGACUCUUUGCAACCCCGUGAACUACAGCGUGCCAGGCUUUCCUGUCCUUCACCAUCUCUCUGAGUUUGCUCAAACUCGUGUCUAUUGGUGAGGUUAGGGGUGCACACAUGCUGUGAGUGUAUGAGGGACUGUGUGUGUGUCUGGGGACAGGAUGUGAACAUACAAUAUGCCAGAGGUUAAUGUGCUGUGAAAAGGAUUAGAUGUUGUUAAUGGUAAAUUUUAUAUUAUAUUCAUGUUGCUAUGGUAAAAAAAAAAGGAAAGAAAGCAAUAAAAC